GACGAACGCUGGCGGCGUGCUUAACACAUGCAAGUCGAACGGGAUUUAGUAGACAGAAGCCUCGGCUAAAGAUUACUAAUGAGAGUGGCGAACGGGUGAGUAACGCGUGAGCAACCUACCUAUGACAGUGGGAUAGCCUCGGGAAACCGGGAUUAAUACCGCAUAAAAUCGUAGAAACACAUGUUUCAACGGUCAAAGAUUUAUCGGUCAUAGAUGGGCUCGCGUCUGAUUAGCUAGUUGGUGAGAUAACAGCCCACCAAGGCGACGAUCAGUAGCCGGUCUGAGAGGAUGAACGGCCACAUUGGAACUGAGACACGGUCCAAACUCCUACGGGAGGCAGCAGUGGGGAAUAUUGCACAAUGGGGGAAACCCUGAUGCAGCGACGCCGCGUGAACGAAGAAGGUAUUCGUAUCGUAAAGUUCUGUCCUAUGGGAAGAUAAUGACAGUACCAUAGAAGAAAGCUCCGGCUAAAUACGUG
rnacentral:rRNA from 1 species